UCUCUCUCCGCCUGACCUUCACACCUCCUCGCUCUCUUGCUUCAUGCACGCACGCGCACCCUCCUCUCCCCUCUAUGCCACUUCCACCGCACACCCACAUCCUUUUCUGCCCCUCCCCCCUGCUCUUAGGUAUUCCGUGGCGUUGUCCAUCUCUCUCUCGCGCGCUCUCUCAUUUCUCCUUUUGUGGUUGACGGCGCGCCCUCCGUCGCGUGCGUGCUCAACGUGUGGGUGUGGCGUAUCGGCUGCGUGAGACUUGGUGGUGUGCGUCCCCUCUUUCAUUGUCCUUUCUGCACCCCUUCUCUCUCUUUGUCGUGCCGCCGCUGGCGGAGCCUGAUGACGGGAACCGCACCUGUACAGCAGCGCACACAACGCGGGGAAGCAGAAGCAGUCCCGAACGCGCACUACAGAUAGAUGUGUUUCUACCGGAGGCACUGGAGCACUCAUGCGCGAAUACCCAGGAGUUCAUGCACACUUGCAUGUGUACAGACUUCGAAUUAUAUGAAAGAGGGGGAGGGGUUACAGCGGAGGAGCGCACCCCCACAAGAGCACGUGCAAGCUCGCACAGAAGCAGCAGCAGCAGCAGCAAUACAAACGCUAGCGAGAAAGGGGCAGGCGUAACUAACGCGUUGUGUGUGUAUGUUUGUGCAGGCGCAAAACGAAGAUGCGACCAACAACACCAAAAAGAACAAAGAAAAUGAAAGGGCGCUGAAGGGACACGCACACACGCAAUGGAGGAGGUGGACACAUUUUUAUUUUAUCCCUUUGCCUUUUAAUUUUUGAAGGUCGCGAAAGGCUGCGCGCACCGCUAGCGAUUCACCACCGGAGGUGUUACAGUGAAGGUAUGUGUCGCUUUUCUCAAAUCCCUUUCCUUCCGUGUUUGCGUGUGAUCACCUUUCGCCCCCCCCCCCCCGCCCUGUUCAUCUUUCUCUCUUACCCCCCGCUCACUCUAUACGUGUGCGUGUGCAUGUUUAUGCGUCUCCUUUUUUCUUGUUCUCCCUCCGCCACCGCCAUAUGUCCGACACACACACACACACACACACACACACACACACUUGUGUGUGUGUGUGUGCAG
rnacentral:misc_RNA from 1 species